AUGCUCCAUGUAAAGGUGAUAAUUAUGUAUUUCAAGUGAAGGAAAAACAAGAGAAUAUACUGACGAGACAAAGAAAUCAUAUAUUAGAUAAAAUUGUUGGAUUACAAUAGUGGUUAUUACAGGAGAACAUCAUCCAAAUGUGAUGCAUAAUCUAUCUAUUUUCUGACACUGAAACUUAAACGAAAGCAUCCAUCAACAUCCCUACAACUUAACUAAAACUUAACCGAGGAACAACAUUCAACAGGAAUGUCAUCCCUACGAUAUAACUAAAACUGAUAGCAUCCAUCCAUCAUCAUCAUCAUCAUGAAACGGACCAUCGACAUCUUUCUUUGCAGUUGAGUUGCCACACACCCAUAUACUCAUCCAUUUAUCUUUUGAAUCUACAAACAAGAAAAUAAAAUGAAUUGUUAACACGCAAUGCAUUGACAUCAUGCAAGUACUAACAAAGGCAAGAUUAGUCACGUACAAACUUUGAAGGCCAUGCAAUCUUUGUUUUUCCAGCAUUACCGAGAGUAUUGCAGUUUUUGCGACUCCGUACCAAAUUGUCAGUUUUCUCAAGUGCCAUAUCGACAUGCACCGUCCAGAAUUUAUUUCCAAUUUCAGCACCAUCAAGUUUAAUUUAGGAUUACAACUUACAAUUGUAGCAAGAGCUACGUCCAUGCUAUAUUUUUUCAGGCUCUUCAAGAAUAUUUUAAUUCCUACCUAUUAGAGAAAACCAAAGUUACCAUAUGACAAAACAGGAAAAAAAACAGGGGAGCAUAUGAAAUGAAUGAGUACUCUUACAGGUAGUUCAUUGGCACCCAACCAACUCAGGGAAGCACUUUGAGAACUCUUACUGCUUGCAUUAGCACCUUUUGUUGUUGUUUUUUUGGGCUGGACAACAGUCUAAUAGCGGUUAUUACAGGAGGAACAUCAUCCAAAGAAGAAGUAGUAAACAGCUAACACCAUAGAUUGAACACAAAUUUGUAUGUGAUUAUGAAAAGAAACCAGCUUGUUUGAAGCAGAAGUUUUUUCUCCCUGACGCGCACUGACAGCCUCAAGCAAAGUUUCUUUGUUCUGAACAACGUUCUGAUAGCAAGACGACCAGUAGAUACAUGACCAUCGGAAAUAAUAUUUUUUGAACAUAUUGUAUAUGGUAAUGGAAAUAUACCUUUUGUGUAGCAGAAUUUAUUUCCCCUUGCCAUGCACUAAAAUUAUGAUCAGAAGUUUCUUGGUUCUGGACAACAUUUUGAUAGCAACAACUAACCACAUAAAUAUGGGAG
rnacentral:lncRNA from 1 species